CUUACGGCGGGUUCCAUCGUCAAACGCGGCGCUCAGCGGCUGACUCGACCAGCCUUGAGGCACGAAGUGCACACGUUCAUGCGCUUAUGCGUGCCGUUCUCGACGACACGGACGCGCUGAAUGUUCGGGCUCCACCGGCGAUUGGUCUUCUUCUUCGACCAGGGGACGUUGUGUCCGAAACCGGGGCGCUUAGCGCAGAUGUCACACACAGCAGCCACUG
rnacentral:sRNA from 1 species